rnacentral:rRNA from 1 species
GGGAUAUUGCACAAUGGAGGAAACUCUGAUGCAGCAACGCCGCGUGAGGGAAGACGGUUUUCGGAUUGUAAACCUCUGUCCUCAGGGACGAUAAUGACGGUACCUGAGGAGGAAGCUCCGGCUAACUACGUGCCAGCAGCCGCGGUAAUACGUAGGGAGCAAGCGUUGUCCGGAUUUACUGGGUGUAAAGGGUGCGUAGGCGGCCCUGCAAGUCAGGCGUGAAAGGCGGAGGCUUAACCUCCGAGCUGCGUUUGAAACUGUGGGGCUUGAGUGGAGCAGAGGCAGGCGGAAUUCCCGGUGUAGCGGUGAAAUGCGUAGAGAUCGGGAGGAACACCAGUGGCGAAGGCGGCCUGCUGGGCUUUAACUGACGCUGAAGCACGAAAGCAUGGGUAGCAAACA